GACGAGGGAGUCUUUCGUGGGAGUCAAGAGGAGCUGAACAAAGGCUUUGGGGCGGCUGAAUCUUUUCAGGAGCCACAAAAUCCUGAAAAUCAAAGGCCACAAGAUUCACCUCCAGCUGUCCAGGUACCUCCAAUAAAAUCCAAUUCAUGGACCCUGCUAAGGCCACAAAAUAAUGGGAGCUGCCACGAGACGCCUGCAUCAAGAGUUGGUGACACUGUCCAGUUCCCCCAGAAACAAGGACAUUCAUUCACCCGAAGGCCACAAGACAGUUCACAAAGUGGCAUCUGCAGCAAGACACUUGCAAGAGUCGACUAUAAACCACCUCAGCCUGAUCGGCGGAAGUGGAUGUAAAGGAUACAGUGUGGCGGCCAAUGACAAUAUCAAACACCGUCGCACGGAGACCAAUUGGAGAGGAGUAAAUGGGAAAAUAUUCAUGGCUUCCCUACAACUGAAGAAGGCUGUAAUCGCUGCUGUAAGAAAGAACCCACUGACUUCGAGGGCUUCUGAACGUGAGGUGGAAAUGUUUAUGAAGAGCUGGCUACGGCUGCAGCGGAUCGAGAAGGGGGCAGAAGACGGCGAGCCAAAGUCCUUGUAGCUCCAUGAACAACGUUGAUUAAUGCAAUAAAAUAUUACAAAUUCGAGAGUGUAAAAUAUAUUAUAAUAGAC
ensembl:lncRNA